CGCGACUGAAACUUUGAGGUUAGUUAGGCGGUGAUUGUCGAUUUGACGUUGUUCCGCGUACAUUUCAAACUUGAAUUAAGGUUAAUUUGAAGGGUUUUUAUAAUGUAUUUUAUUAGAAAAUAUCGGUUGACAGGUGCAGUUUGAUGUUUUGCCCCUAACCUUGAAUACGUCCAAUGAGAGAGUGCGCCAGUGUCUUUCGGCCAAUAGAAAUCGCCAAAGCGCCAGGGUCAACAAAUCCUUGUGAAAUAGCAGAGUUUUCGGCGGCCAUGUUGAAAACAACCUUUACUUGGACGUGUGUGAUUUUUUAAACGAUUUUCGCUCCAUUUUCCACGGAUUUUCACCCUUUUCUUCGUUAUGGGCACGGUGCGGUGAGUUCUUGUACGACGGUUCGCGUUUUAAGUGCCACCGUACGUUCUGCUCGAGUGACACUUGGCGUGUUUUGAUAAAUGUGAGACCUUGAAUUGUGUUUGGCUGGACGGAAGAUAAUUUUCGGCAGUUUCGGAUACAUCUCAUUAUGAAUUAUAUUAUUUCAGAUAUCACUUCCUGUAUACGUAAAAGCCCAUCUCAUCGAAUAUCAAAUGCCGAACGUCUCCUUUCUAUACCAUAUACAGAAGUAGCAGCGUCGCACACCGUUAUCUCGUCGCUGGCAGCCCGACGAUAGAAGGAACUGCAAGCUGCGAAGUUGUCGGGUUUGCGGGGCCCCAGAGGGGGGCGGAGAACUUAUUUUUCCGCCGGUGCAAUAACCCAGCGACCAUGAAACAUUGACACAGUGCGCUGCGUGCGCAUCGCCUCUAAAGUCGCAAUAAAAAUAUUACAAUAAUAUCUCCAUAACUAAAAAUAAAUCGAAAAUUUUAUUACAUCUAAUUCAAAUUUAUCUAUUUAAUGUUACAUCAUUAAUUGUAAUACAUAAAUCAUAUUGAUUCGACAAUGAAGUAAAAAUUUGAUUCAAGUUAUCUUGUUCUCAAUCCAAAAGUAAUUAGGUAAUCCAUCACGGGUCAAGCGUAUGCCGCCAAACUGGUUACACAAUCGGUUAUUUAUACUAUGCCGUGGCAGUGAACGGGUGCGAAAAGAAGGAGUAAAGGAGGCGGCGUUCAGGAUCAAAGGUCUUCCCGAGUGUUGCUCCGGGUGACGGGAUAUUGCAAAAGAAGCAAAUAAAAACAGAAGAUGAUGAAGGAGGAGGUAGUUUGAAGAGGAUAAGUCGAAAUCUCAAUCCGUGUUAGAAAAAGGACGCCUAUGGGCGCGUUGGCGGCGUAAGGGGGCAC